AUUGCACUAAAGGCAGGUGAAGUGGUUCCAUUUUAACAUAAUGAAAUAUAUUAAAAUAUAUUACAGUUAGCUUAAAAUUGAUCUUAAGGAUAUCUUGAAGAACACAACAUACUUAAAGUUGUCCCAAAAUAACACAUUUAAAAUGCGCUUAGUAUAGUACAGUACAGUAUAGUAAAUAAAUUGCAUAAAUAAAAGCACAACUUAAGUGUAUUUCUUUUCACCUUGGAAAUAAAUAACAAAACGGAAUAAAAUGUGGUGUUCUUUUGCGGUUAUUUGCUGCCAGCUUCACCUUUGGCCAGAGUGCAGUAGUGACACCAGAAGUGGCAGUGCCAGGUUUGCCCUGUUCUGUUUCUAUCCCAGUAUUAAUGUAGCAGUCCCUCUACUUUUUAAGAAAGACCACAUUACCAGCCUCAUUGAUUGUGCUUCCUGCAUCAACAACCAAAGCUUCUUCUACCACACCAGUAGAGAGAGAGAGAGAGAGAGAGAGAGAGAGAGAGGGGCGGGGGCUUAGCCCAAUGCAUCUGUGUGUCCUGCAUUAUGGUUAGGGAGGUAAGCAGUACGGAGGAGGUUUAUGGAGCUGUAAUUGGUAGUUAGUGUGAUAUUUGUAAGACAAAUAGAGCUAUAUGUGCUAUUCCUCCUCUCUCUCCUCUCUAGUCUUUACAGCCACCAAAGGGCCUCAUUAUAGCCCACAGCAGCCAAGGCCUCACUGCACCGCACACACACGAAGGGCAGGAAGUUGUGUGUGACAGUGUGGCUGCCAGGACUGAUAGAUGAUACAGUAAGUGUGGUAUUCAUUGAGAGAGGGCCCUGACGGUCGGGGGAAUGAAAGAGCUCUUCAUUACAGCGCACCAGGUGGACGUUUUACACUCAUGCUGUGCGCGACGGGACUGCCUGAGUUUACUGUGGUCACUCAUGCAUAUUCAGGGUUCAGAAAUAACUUUUCUGUGAGACCUGCCAAUGCCUCAGUGCUCAGUCUCUUCGCCGUCAUGCCAGCAUUCCGUAGUCGUAUUCCUGGAUGCACAAACAGUGUGUAAUUAUCCCAGCCUCCCUGCUGUUCUUUCUCUUUCUUUCUCUCUCUCUCCCUCACCCAGUCUCUACAUAUCCCACACUGGAGAGACCGAGACCCAAGAUGAUUCUUUCUCUCUCGCUGUCGCUGUCACACAAGAGGAAAAGAGCUCCUCUCUUCAUUACAGAAGGACCUGAUCCAACUUGAAAGAUGCAGCCAUUAUUCUUGACUGUCUGGACUCCCCCCUCUCUUCCCUGUCACAGGCUUAUUGUUUGGCCUCCUGGGGUUGCAUUUUAAACCUGCACUGUCGCUCUGGCCCACAGAACGAGGGCUUCAUCGACUACUCAUAAUGUCUGCAUGCUGUUAGAGGAAAUUCUGGAAUAAGAAAAAACUGCAAAUAGUUUUAUGCAAAAAUAAUGGCAUUUGCUUCAUAAUGCAGAAGGAGUGAUGCAUGUAUGUGUUUAUUGUGCAAAGGUGUGAUACAAAGGACCGUUAUGCCAAAUGCACAUAAUAAUAACAACAAAAUGAUAACAUUUACACAGUACUAAUGCUUUGUCGAAAGCCAG
ensembl:lncRNA